rnacentral:rRNA from 1 species
UACGUAGGCAGCGAGCGUUGUUCGGAAUUACUGGGCGUAAAGAGCGCGUAGGCGGCACGGUACGACCGGUGUGAAAGCCCCCGGCUCAACUGGGGAGGGUCACCGGUAACGGUCGAGCUAUGAGUGCAGGUGAGGGAAGUGGAACUCCGGGAGUAGCGGUGAAAUGCGUAGAGACCCGGAGGAACACCAGUGGCGAAGGCGGCUUCCUGGUCUGCGACUGACGCUGUGGCGCGAAAGCUAGGGGAGCAAACGGG